UACGUAGGUGGCGAGCGUUGUCCGGAUUUACUGGGCGUAAAGGGAGCGUAGGCGGACUUUUAAGUGAGAUGUGAAAUACUCGGGCUCAACUUGAGUGCUGCAUUUCAAACUGGAAGUCUAGAGUGCAGGAGAGGAGAAUGGAAUUCCUAGUGUAGCGGUGAAAUGCGUAGAUAUCACGCAGAACCCCGAUUGCGAAGGCAGCCUUCCGGCGCCCUACUGACGCUGAGGCACGAAAGUGCGGGGAUCGAACAGG
rnacentral:rRNA from 1 species